rnacentral:rRNA from 1 species
AAAUUUAAGUAGUUUAUAAUAGUAUUAAUUUAUUUUAUUAAUGUAAACACACACCCCUAUAGGGGUGUGUGUUUACAUAAAAAAAAAAAAUGUUUAGCGUGAGCUGGGAGCUUUGGGCUAACUUGAUUGAACAUAUAAGUUAAUUUGUAGUAGUUCAAAGUAUUAUUAUUUAGUAAGGUUGAAAUAGCGGGUAAAUUGGUGCCAGCAUCUGCGGUUAGACUAAAGCUGUAAUUAAAGCUAAGUAGGCAGGCUACUUAAGGUGUGUGGUAGAUAAAUGUGUAGUGAAAUAUAAUUGAAUAAAAGACACUAAUGCUAAAGUCAGGUGUGAGUUAGACCAGGAUUAGAUACCCUGUUAUUUUGGGUCAGGCCUAAGUAUUAAGGUUAAAAUUAUAAGGCUUGGCGGCUAUUUUUUUUUAGGGGGAUUUGCUAAUAAUCGAUGACCCUCGAUAGCUCUCACCCUGUUAAAAUUAUGUACAUCGUCAUUUAGUUAGUUUAGGAAUAAUAAUUAAGGUAGUUAGUUGAUAAGGCUAGAUCAAGGUGCAGAGUGAAAGGGUUAUAGUUAGUCACAAUAUUAAUUAAUAUAUUUUAGCAUAGGUGUGAGUGCGGUAGAAGUGGACUUAACAGUAAUUAUUAAUAUUUGAUCAAGUUUGAUUAGUGUACAAAUUGCCCGUCAAUCUCUUGGAGAUAAGUCGAAACAAAGUAGAAAAACCGGAAGGUUUUUCU